GGAGAGGUAGCGAAGAGGCUAAACGCGGCUGACUGUAAAUCAGCUCCUUCGGGUUCGGCAGUUCGAAUCUGCCCCUCUCCACCA
rnacentral:tRNA from 1 species